GGCAGGCCUAACACAUGCAAGUCGAACGAGAUCUUCGGAUCUAGUGGCGGACGGGUGAGUAACGCGUGGGAACGUGCCCUUCUCUACGGAAUAGUCCUGGGAAACUGGGUUUAAUACCGUAUACGCCCUUCGGGGGAAAGAAUUUCGGGGAAGGAUCGGCCCGCGUUGGAUUAGGUAGUUGGUGGGGUAAUGGCCUACCAAGCCGACGAUCCAUAGCUGGUUUGAGAGGAUGAUCAGCCACACUGGGACUGAGACACGGCCCAGACUCCUACGGGAGGCAGCAGUGGGGAAUCUUAGACAAUGGGGGCAACCCUGAUCUAGCCAUGCCGCGUGAGUGACGAAGGCCCUAGGGUCGUAAAGCUCUUUCGCCAGGGAUGAUAAUGACAGUACCUGGUAAAGAAACCCCGGCUAACUCCGUGCCAGCAGCCGCGGUAAUACGGAGGGGGUUAGCGUUGUUCGGAAUUACUGGGCGUAAAGCGCACGUAGGCGGACUAUUAAGUCAGAGGUGAAAUCCCGGGGCUCAACCCCGGAACUGCCUUUGAUACUGGUAGUCUUGAGUUCGAGAGAGGUGAGUGGAAUUCCGAGUGUAGAGGUGAAAUUCGUAGAUAUUCGGAGGAACACCAGUGGCGAAGGCGGCUCACUGGCUCGAAACUGACGCUGAGGUGCGAAAGCGUGGGGAGCAAA
rnacentral:rRNA from 1 species